rnacentral:rRNA from 1 species
CAGCGGAGACAGGUGGUGCAUGGUUGUCGUCAGCUCGUGUCGUGAGAUGUUGGGUUAAGUCCCGCAACGAGCGCAACCCUUGAUCUGUGUUGCCAGCAUUGAGUUGGGCACUCACAGGUGACUGCCGGUGACAAACCGGAGGAAGGCGGGGAUGACGUCAAAUCAUCAUGCCCCUUAUGUCCUGGGCUACACACGUGCUACAAUGGGCGGUACAACGGGAAGCGAGAUCGCGAGAUGGAGCCAAACCCUGAAAGCCGUUCGUAGUUCGGAUUGCAGGCUGCAACUCGCCUGCAUGAAGCCGGAAUUGCUAGUAAUCGCGGAUCAGCAUGCCGCGGUGAAUACGUUCCCGGGCCUUGUACACACCGCCCGUCACACCACGAGAGUUGGUAACACCCGAAGUCGGUGAGGUAACCAAUUGGAGCCAGCCGCCGAAGGUGGGAUCGAUGAUUGGGGUGAAGUCGUAACAAGGUAGCCGUAUUGGAAGGUGCGGCUGGAUCACCUC